GACGAACGCUGGCGGCGUGCUUAACACAUGCAAGUCGAGCGGUAAGGCCCUUUCGGGGGUACACGAGCGGCGAACGGGUGAGUAACACGUGGGUGACCUGCCCUCAGCUCUGGGAUAAGCCUGGGAAACCGGGUCUAAUACUGGAUAUGACUCCAUGACGCAUGUUGUGGGGUGAAAGCCUUGUGCGGCUGAGGAUGGGCCCGCGGCCUAUCAGCUUGUUGGUGGGGUGANGGCCUACCAAGGCGACGACGGGUAGCCGGCCUGAGAGGGCGACCGGCCACACUGGGACUGAGACACGGCCCAGACUCCUACGGGAGGCAGCAGUGGGGAAUCUUGCGCAAUGGGCGAAAGCCUGACGCAGCGACGCCGCGUGAGGGAUGACGG
rnacentral:rRNA from 1 species